UACGUAGGUGGCGAGCGUUGUCCGGAUUUACUGGGCGUAAAGAGCGCGCAGGCGGUCGUACAAGUCGCGUGUGAAAGCCCCCGGCUCAACUGGGGAGGGUCACGCGAUACUGUUCGACUCGAAGGCAGGAGAGGGAAGUGGAAUUCCCGGUGUAGUGGUGAAAUGCGUAGAUAUCGGGAGGAACACCAAUGGCGAAGGCAGCUCACUGGGACGGUAUUGACGCUGAGACGCGAAAGCGUGGGGAGCAAACAGG
rnacentral:rRNA from 1 species